UACGGAGGGUGCAAGCGUUAUCCGGAUUCACUGGGUUUAAAGGGUGCGUAGGUGGGCUGGUAAGUCAGUGGUGAAAUCUCCAGGCUUAACUUGGAAACUGCCAUUGAUACUAUCAGUCUUGAAUACCGUGGAGGUCAGCGGAAUAUGUCAUGUAGCGGUGAAAUGCUUAGAUAUGACAUAGAACACCAAUUGCGAAGGCAGCUUACUACACAGUUAUUGACACUGAGGCACGAAAGCGUGGGGAUCAAACAGG
rnacentral:rRNA from 1 species